CGUUUUUAAACCAGUUUUGUCUGAAGCAAUGUAUCAUUGAAUUGACCUAAUUCGAAAAUACAACUUUCAACAACGGAUCUCUUGGCUCUCGCAUCGAUGAAGAACGCAGCGAAAUGCGAUACGUAAUGUGAAUUGCAGAAUUCAGUGAAUCAUCGAAUCUUUGAACGCACAUUGCGCUCUCUGGUAUUCCGGAGAGCAUGCUUGUUUGAGUAUCAGUAAAACACCCUCAAUUCUCUUGUUUUUCAAGGAAAUUGGACUUGAGUGAUCCCAACGGUUUUCAAACUGGCGGGCCACUUGAAAUGCAGGUGCGGCUGGACACUUCUUCUGAGCUAUAAGCAUUACUUAUUUAAUCCCGUCAAACGGAUUAUUUCUAUUGCUACAGCUAACAUAAAGGUUGAUUGUCCUUGUGCCCGACUGAUGCAGGAAAACAAAGAGUAAUCUUUGUUCAACUCGAUCUCAAAUCAAGUAAGACUACCCGCUGAACUUAA
rnacentral:rRNA from 1 species